UUAAGCGACCAAGCGUACACGGUGGAUGCCCUGGCAGUCAGAGGCGAUGAAGGACGUGCUAAUCUGCGAUAAGCGCCGGUAAGGUGAUAUGAACCGUUAUAACCGGCGAUUUCCGAAUGGGGAAACCCAGUGUGACUCGUCACACUAUCAUUACGUGAAUACAUAGCGUAAUGAAGCGAACCGGGGGAACUGAAACAUCUAAGUACCCCGAGGAAAAGAAAUCAACCGAGAUUCCCCCAGUAGCGGCGAGCGAACGGGGAGGAGCCCAGAGCCUGAAUCAGCAUGUGUGUUAGUGGAAGCGUCUGGAAAGGCGCGCGAUACAGGGUGACAGCCCCGUACACAAAAGCGCAUGUGCUGUGAGCUCGAUGAGUAGGGCGGGACACGUGGUAUCCUGUCUGAAUAUGGGGGGACCAUCCUCCAAGGCUAAAUACUCCUGACUGACCGAUAGUGAACCAGUACCGUGAGGGAAAGGCGAAAAGAACCCCGGCGAGGGGAGUGAAACAGAACCUGAAACCGUGUACGUACAAGCAGUGGGAGCACAGGUUUACCUGUGUGACUGCGUACCUUUUGUAUAAUGGGUCAGCGACUUAUAUUCUGUAGCAAGGUUAACCGCAUAGGGGAGCCGAAGGGAAACCGAGUCUUAAUUGGGCGUUAAGUUGCAGGGUAUAGACCCGAAACCCGGUGAUCUAGCCAUGGGCAGGUUGAAGGUUGGGUAACACUAACUGGAGGACCGAACCGACUAAUGUUGAAAAAUUAGCGGAUGACCUGUGGCUGGGGGUGAAAGGCCAAUCAAACCGGGAGAUAGCUGGUUCUCCCCGAAAGCUAUUUAGGUAGCGCCUCGUGAAUUCAUCUCCGGGGGUAGAGCACUGUUUCGGCUAGGGGGCCAUCCCGGCUUACCAACCCGAUGCAAACUGCGAAUACCGGAGAAUGUUAUCACGGGAGACACACGGCGGGUGCUAACGUCCGUCGUGAAGAGGGAAACAACCCAGACCGCCAGCUAAGGUCCCAAAGUCAUGGUUAAGUGGGAAACGAUGUGGGAAGGCCCAGACAGCCAGGAUGUUGGCUUAGAAGCAGCCAUCAUUUAAAGAAAGCGUAAUAGCUCACUGGUCGAGUCGGCCUGCGCGGAAGAUGUAACGGGGCUAAACCAUGCACCGAAGCUGCGGCAGCGACGCUUAUGCGUUGUUGGGUAGGGGAGCGUUCUGUAAGCCGUUGAAGGUGGCCUGUGAGGGUUGUUGGAGGUAUCAGAAGUGCGAAUGCUGACAUAAGUAACGAUAAAGCGGGUGAAAAGCCCGCUCGCCGGAAGACCAAGGGUUCCUGUCCAACGUUAAUCGGGGCAGGGUGAGUCGACCCCUAAGGCGAGGCCGAAAGGCGUAGUCGAUGGGAAACGGGUUAAUAUUCCCGUACUUGGUGUUACUGCGAAGGGGGGACGGAGAAGGCUAUGUUGGCCGGGCGACGGUUGUCCCGGUUUAAGCGUGUAGGUGUGUGUUCCAGGUAAAUCCGGUUCACUUUAACACUGAGGCGUGACGACGAGGCACCACGGUGCUGAAGCAACAAAUGCCCUGCUUCCAGGAAAAGCCUCUAAGCAUCAGGUAACAUCAAAUCGUACCCCAAACCGACACAGGUGGUCAGGUAGAGAAUACCAAGGCGCUUGAGAGAACUCGGGUGAAGGAACUAGGCAAAAUGGUGCCGUAACUUCGGGAGAAGGCACGCUGACAUGUAGGUGAAGUGGUUUACCCAUGGAGCUGAAGUCAGUCGAAGAUACCAGCUGGCUGCAACUGUUUAUUAAAAACACAGCACUGUGCAAACACGAAAGUGGACGUAUACGGUGUGACGCCUGCCCGGUGCCGGAAGGUUAAUUGAUGGGGUCAGCGCAAGCGAAGCUCCUGAUCGAAGCCCCGGUAAACGGCGGCCGUAACUAUAACGGUCCUAAGGUAGCGAAAUUCCUUGUCGGGUAAGUUCCGACCUGCACGAAUGGCGUAAUGAUGGCCAGGCUGUCUCCACCCGAGACUCAGUGAAAUUGAACUCGCUGUGAAGAUGCAGUGUACCCGCGGCAAGACGGAAAGACCCCGUGAACCUUUACUAUAGCUUGACACUGAACAUUGAGCCUUGAUGUGUAGGAUAGGUGGGAGGCUUUGAAGCGUGGACGCCAGUCUGCGUGGAGCCAACCUUGAAAUACCACCCUUUAAUGUUUGAUGUUCUAACGUGGACCCGUAAUCCGGGUUGCGGACAGUGUCUGGUGGGUAGUUUGACUGGGGCGGUCUCCUCCUAAAGAGUAACGGAGGAGCACGAAGGUUGGCUAAUCCUGGUCGGACAUCAGGAGGUUAGUGCAAUGGCAUAAGCCAGCUUGACUGCGAGCGUGACGGCGCGAGCAGGUGCGAAAGCAGGUCAUAGUGAUCCGGUGGUUCUGAAUGGAAGGGCCAUCGCUCAACGGAUAAAAGGUACUCCGGGGAUAACAGGCUGAUACCGCCCAAGAGUUCAUAUCGACGGCGGUGUUUGGCACCUCGAUGUCGGCUCAUCACAUCCUGGGGCUGAAGUAGGUCCCAAGGGUAUGGCUGUUCGCCAUUUAAAGUGGUACGCGAGCUGGGUUUAGAACGUCGUGAGACAGUUCGGUCCCUAUCUGCCGUGGGCGCUGGAGAACUGAGGGGGGCUGCUCCUAGUACGAGAGGACCGGAGUGGACGCAUCACUGGUGUUCGGGUUGUCAUGCCAAUGGCACUGCCCGGUAGCUAAAUGCGGAAGAGAUAAGUGCUGAAAGCAUCUAAGCACGAAACUUGCCCCGAGAUGAGUUCUCCCUGAGACUAUAAGUCUCCUGAAGGAACGUUGAAGACGACGACGUUGAUAGGCCGGGUGUGUAAGCGCAGCGAUGCGUUGAGCUAACCGGUACUAAUGAACCGUGAGGCUUAACCUU
rnacentral:rRNA from 1 species